rfam:Gossypium raimondii chromosome 6, whole genome shotgun sequence.
AAUUCGUGAUGUGGACAUUUCUUAAUCAGCGUAUUAAAAUGCUCUUGAGCUUCAUGAAAACUCUCUCCCUCUAACUGUUUGAACAAAGUAAUCUCUCUUCUUAGCU